UACGUAGGGUGCGAGCGUUGUCCGGAAUUAUUGGGCGUAAAGAGCUCGUAGGCGGUGUGUCACGUCGGCCGUGAAAACCUGCAGCUUAACUGUGGGCGUGCGGUCGAUACGGGCAUCACUGGAGUUCGGCAGGGGAGACUGGAAUUCCUGGUGUAGCGGUGAAAUGCGCAGAUGUCAGGAGGAACACCGGUGGCGAAGGCGGGUCUCUGGGCCGAUACUGACGCUGAGGAGCGAAAGUGUGGGGAGCGAACAGG
rnacentral:rRNA from 1 species